rnacentral:rRNA from 1 species
UCCUACGGGAGGCAGCAGUAGGGAAUCUUCCGCAAUGGACGAAAGUCUGACGGAGCAACGCCGCGUGAGCGAAGAAGGUCUUCGGAUUGUAAAGCUCUGUUGUCAGGGAAGAACAAGUACCGUUCGAAUAGGGCGGUACCGUGACGGUACCUAACGAGAAAGCCACGGCUAACUACGUGCCAGCAGCCGCGGUAAUACGUAGGUGGCAAGCGUUAUCCGGAAUUAUUGGGCGUAAAGGGCGCGUAGGCGGUUUUUUAAGUCUGAUGUGAAAGCCCACGGCUCAACCGUGGAGGGUCAUUGGAAACUGGAAAACUUGAGUGCAGAAGAGGAAAGUGGAAUUCCAUGUGUAGCGGUGAAAUGCGCAGAGAUAUGGAGGAACACCAGUGGCGAAGGCGACUUUCUGGUCUGUAACUGACGCUGAUGUGCGAAAGCGUGGGGAUCAAACAGGAUUAGAUACCCUGGUAGUCCACGCCGUAAACGAUGAGUGCUAAGUGUUAGGGGGUUUCCGCCCCUUAGUGCUGCAGCUAACGCAUUAAGCACUCCGCCUGGGGAGUACGACCGCAAGGUUGAAACUCAAAGGAAUUGACG